GCCGCCGUAGCUCAGUUGGCAGAGCGGCUGAUUUGUAAUCAGCAGGUCGUGGGAUCGUGACCCACCGGCGGCUCCA
rnacentral:tRNA from 2 species